UACGUAGGGGGCUAGCGUUGUCCGGAAUCAUUGGGCGUAAAGCGCGCGUAGGCGGCCAGAUAAGUCCGGUGUGAAAGUCAAAGGCUCAACCUUUGAAUGCCGCUGGAAACUGUCUGGCUAGAGUCCGGAAGGGGCGAGUGGAACUCCUGGUGUAGCGGUGAAAUGCGCAGAUAUCAGGAAGAACACCAAUGGCGAAGGCAGCUCGCUAGGACGGUACUGACGCUGAUGCGCGAAAGCGUGGGGAGCGAUCCGG
rnacentral:rRNA from 1 species